rnacentral:rRNA from 1 species
GACGAACGCUGGCGGCGUGCUUAACACAUGCAAGUCGAGCGGUAAGGCCCUUUCGGGGGUACGACGAGCGGCGAACGGGUGAGUAACACGUGGGUGACCUGCCCUCCAGCUCUGGGAUAAGCCUGGGAAACCGGGUCUAAUACUGGAUAUGACUCCAUGACGCAUGUUGUGGGGUGGAAAGCCUUGUGCGGCUGAGGAUGGGCCCGCGGCCUAUCAGCUUGUUGGUGGGGUGAGGCCUACCAAGGCGACGACGGGUAGCCGGCCUGAGAGGGCGACCGGCCACACUGGGACUGAGACACGGCCCAGACUCCUACGGGAGGCAGCAGUGGGGAAUCUUGCGCAAUGGGCGAAAGCCUGACGCAGCGACGCCGCGUGAGGGAUGACGGCCU